UCUUUAGUAUAAGUAUGUCUCAGGCAAUGUUUGGGACAUACUUAUGCUAAAA
rfam:Sus scrofa isolate TJ Tabasco breed Duroc chromosome 13, whole genome shotgun sequence.